ACGUGUGCCCUUCCCAUAACUAGAUGGGUAAGAACUUGAGAGGAACAAAAUGAGAUAGGGGAAGAACUAGAAUGGAGGGCUAAAAGAGAGGACUAGAGGAAUGAGAUGGAAGAUGAGGAAGAGCCAGAUGGGGAAGAACAAGAUGAGGAAGAGCCAGAUGAGAGAGGAGAUGUGAGAGGAGCUGAUAGGGGAAAGAA